rfam:Salmo salar isolate Sally breed double haploid chromosome ssa28, whole genome shotgun sequence.
AAAAAUCACUACUGUAAGUCGCUCUGGAUAAGAGCGUCUGCUAAAGGACUAAAA